rnacentral:misc_RNA from 1 species
UAGUAGACUUGUAGUUAAAACUAAUGUCAAUAGAGUUUCUAGCUUAUUAUGUAUGAACACCUUGCUAGAAAGCUACCAUAAUAGGUACUAAUAUCAUAGUUUAAGCAUGCAUUUUAUAAUAAAAGGAGUCCACUAAAGCAGUAGGUCAAAACCUCCUCCACAGCCAACCAAUCAGGUUGGGUUCCUCUGACAAAUUAUGAUUGUCAACCCUAUGAUAAGGGAUAAGGCAUAUCAGACAAGGAUCUUAUCAGAAAAAUUAUGAUCUUAUUAUGAAAAUUUAACUCUCAAAAUUUACUUAGCCAACUCAAAUAAUUCCACUACCUCAAUGAGUCACAUAUUCAUAUGUAAUCAUCUUUGCACAAAUAUAUAUGUAAUCAUCUUCAUAAUAUCUUUGGGAAUUUAAAAAGGGAGCAAUAUUGCCUAGAGAACAUUUUAAGGGGAAAAAAACAAAUGUUAAAAAUACCUUCUUCCAGAGAUAUCCAUGAG